ACCUUACCUGGGUUUGACAUGGAUCGGGAGUGCUCAGAGAUGGGUGUGCCUCUUUUGGGGUCGGUUCACAGGUGGUGCAUGGCUGUCGUCAGCUCGUGUCGUGAGAUGUUGGGUUAAGUCCCGCAACGAGCGCAACCCUUGUUCACUGUUGCCAGCACGUUAUGGUGGGGACUCAGUGGAGACCGCCGGGGUCAACUCGGAGGAAGGUGGGGAUGACGUCAAGUCAUCAUGCCCCUUAUGUCCAGGGCUUCACGCAUGCUACAAUGGCUGGUACAGAGAGUGGCGAGCCUGUGAGGGUGAGCGAAUCUCGGAAAGCCGGUCUCAGUUCGGAUUGGGGUCUGCAACUCGACCUCAUGAAGUCGGAGUCGCUAGUAAUCGCAGAUCAGCAACGCUGCGGUGAAUACGUUCCCGGGGCUUGUACACACCGCCCGUCGACGCGGCCG
rnacentral:rRNA from 1 species